rnacentral:rRNA from 1 species
UACGUAGGUGGCAAGCGUUGUCCGGAUUUAUUGGGUUUAAAGGGUGCGUAGGCGGUUUUGUAAGUCAGUGGUGAAAUACUCUAGCUUAACUAGAGGGGUGCCAAUGAUACUGCGGAACUUGAGUACAGAUGAGGUAGGCGGAAUUGACGGUGUAGCGGUGAAAUGCAUAGAUAUCGUCAAGAACACCGAUAGCGAAGGCAGCUUACUGGGCUGUAACUGACGCUGAUGCACGAAAGUGUGGGGAUCAAACAGG